CGUAACGGAGUUAUUUUCUUCACUCCGAGCUUUUUGCCGGUUAGCCGGAGCGGCAAUCGGUUUUGCCCAGUAUAAAAAAGCAAAACCAAUUUAGGCUCAUAAAGUAAGACUAACACAGAGGGCAGAGAGUUGGGAGUGAAGAAAUAACUUAGUGGCGAACGGGUGAGUAACGCGUGAGUAACCUGCCCUGGAGUGGGGGACAACAGUUGGAAACGACUGCUAAUACCGCAUAAGCCCACGGCCCGGCAUCGGGCUGAGGGAAAAGGAUUUAUUCGCUUCAGGAUGGACUCGCGUCCAAUUAGCUAGUUGGUGAGGUAACGGCCCACCAAGGCGACGAUUGGUAGCCGGACUGAGAGGUUGAACGGCCACAUUGGGACUGAGACACGGCCCAGACUCCUACGGGAGGCAGCAGUGGGGGAUAUUGCACAAUGGGGGAAACCCUGAUGCAGCGACGCCGCGUGGAGGAAGAAGGUUUUCGGAUUGUAAACUCCUGUCGUUAGGGACGAUAAUGACGGUACCUAACAAGAAAGCACCGGCUAACUACGUG
rnacentral:rRNA from 1 species